CGGACGGGUGAGUAACGCGUAAACAAUCUGCCCUUCAGUCUGGGAUAUCAGUUGGAAACGACUGUUAAUACCGGAUAUUAUGGUGCCUUCGCAUGGAGGAAUCAUGAAAGCUAUAUGCGCUGGAGGAGGAGUUUGCGUUCCAUUAGCUAGUUGGUGAGGUAACGGCUCACCAAGGCGACGAUGGAUAGCCGGCCUGAGAGGGUGAACGGCCACAAGGGGACUGAGACACGGCCCUUACUCCUACGGGAGGCAGCAGUGGGGAAUAUUGGACAAUGGGCCACGAGCCUGAUCCAGCAAUUCUGUGUGCACGAUGAAGGUCUUCGGAUUGUAAAGUGCUUUCAGUUGGGAAGAAGAAAGUGACGGUACCAACAGAAGAAGCGACGGCUAAAUAUGUGCCAGCAGCCGCGGUAAUACAUAUGUCGCAAGCGUUAUCCGGAUUUAUUGGGCGUAAAGCGCGUCUAGGCGGUUUACUAAGUCUGAUGUGAAAAUGCGGGGCUCAACUCCGUAUUGCGUUGGAAACUGGUAGACUAGAGUACUGGAGAGGUGGGCGGAACUACAAGUGUAGAGGUGGAAUUCGUAGAUAUUUGUAGGAAUGCCGAUGGAGAAGUCAGCUCACUGGACAGAUACUGACGCUAAAGCGCGAAAGCGUGGGGAGCAAACAGGAUUAGAUACCCUGGUAGUCCACGCCGUAAACGAUGAUCACUAGGUGUUGGGGGUCAAAGCCCAGCGCCCAAGCUAACGCGAUAAGUGAUCCGCCUGGGGAGUACGCACGCAAGUGUGAAACUCAAGGAAUUGACGGGGACCCGCACAAGCGGUGGAGCAUGUGGUUUAAUUCGACG
rnacentral:rRNA from 1 species